rnacentral:rRNA from 1 species
CGGCGGACGGGUGAGUAAUGCUUAGGAAUCUGCCUAUUAGUGGGGGACAACAUCUCGAAAGGGAUGCUAAUACCGCAUACGUCCUACGGGAGAAAGCAGGGGAUCUUCGGACCUUGCGCUAAUAGAUGAGCCUAAGUCGGAUUAGCUAGUUGGUGGGGUAAAGGCCUACCAAGGCGACGAUCUGUAGCGGGUCUGAGAGGAUGAUCCGCCACACUGGGACUGAGACACGGCCCAGACUCCUACGGGAGGCAGCAGUGGGGAAUAUUGGACAAUGGGGGGAACCCUGAUCCAGCCAUGCCGCGUGUGUGAAGAAGGCCUUUUGGUUGUAAAGCACUUUAAGCGAGGAGGAGGCUACCGUAGUUAAUACCUAGGGAUAGUGGACGUUACUCGCAGAAUAAGCACCGGCUAACUCUGUGCCAGCAGCCGCGGUAAUACAGAGGGUGCAAGCGUUAAUCGGAUUUACUGGGCGUAAAGCGCGCGUAGGUGGCCAAUUAAGUCAAAUGUGAAAUCCCCGAGCUUAACUUGGGAAUUGCAUUCGAUACUGGUUGGCUAGAGUAUGGGAGAGGAUGGUAGAAUUCCAGGUGUAGCGGUGAAAUGCGUAGAGAUCUGGAGGAAUACCGAUGGCGAAGGCAGCCAUCUGGCCUAAUA